ACCUCGGCUCAGAAGAGAUUACCCGCUGAACUUAAGCAUAUCAGUAAGCGGAGGAAAAGAAACCAAUAGGGAUUCCCUUAGUAGGGGCGACCGAAAUGGGAAGAGCCCAGCGCAGA
rnacentral:rRNA from 1 species